rnacentral:rRNA from 1 species
UAGGGAAUCUUCGGCAAUGGUGGGAACCCUGACCGAGCAACGCCGCGUGAGUGAAGAAGGUUUUCGGAUCGUAAAGCUCUGUUGUUAACGAAGAAGGAGUGUGAGAAUGGAAAGUUCAUGCUGUGACGUUACUUAAUCAGAAAGGGACGGCUAACUAUGUGCCAGCAGCCGCGGUUAUACGUAGGUGGCAAGCGUUGUCUGGUUUUAUUGGGCGUAAAGCGAGCGCAUGCGGUCAAUUAAGUCUGAUGUGAAAGCCUCCGGCUCAACCGGGGUGGGUCAUUAGAUACUGGUUAGGUUGAGUGCAGAAGAGGAGAGUGGAAUUCCAUUUGUAGCGGUAAAAUGCGUAAAUAUAUGGGGGAACACCAGUAACGAAGGAGACUCUCUGGUCUGUAACUGACGCUGAGGCUCGAAGGCGUGGGUAGCAAGCAGG